AGAAGACCAACUACAAGAAAGUAGGAAAAAAGAAAAAUUCACUGUAUUUUUCAAAAAUAUUAUGUCCCUAUAACGUAGAUUCUGUUUAUCUCCUAACCAGAGUUUUCAUUCUUGGCUAUGGGUUGGGGGUCUGCGAACCAUGUGUCUUGCAUUUUGAGACGAAUCCAGUUGCGAUGUUGACAGGUGCAGACUAACUACUCUUUCCACAACAAGCACUCAGUAUUUUAGUGUUGCUAUAAAGAAAUACUUGAGGCUGGGUGGUUUAUAAAGAAAAGAAGUUUAUUUGGCUCACAGUUCUGCAGACUAUACAAGAAGUAUGGCACCAACAUCUGCUUCUGGUGAGGGCUUCAGGUUGCUUCCACUCAUGGCAGAAGGUGAAAAGGAGCCAGUGUGUACAGAGAUUACAUGGCCAUAGAGAGGAAGCAAAAGAGAGAGGGGAGGGAGAUGCCAGGCUCUUUUUUAACAACCAGCUCUCCCGGAAACUAAUAGAAUGAGAACAGUCUUCCUUACCCUCCCAGACAUUAAUAUAUUCAUGAAGGAUAUGCUCCCAUUACACAAACACCUCCCAUUAGGCCCCACUUCCAACAAUGGGGAUAAAAUUUCAACACAAGAUUUGGAGGGGUCAAACAUCCAAAUCAUAUCAAGGGGUAAUUAGAGUAUGAGGAUGGGGCCCUCAUAAAUGGGAUUAGUGCCCUUAUUAGGGGAUGAAAGGACCAAUGCUCACUCUUUCUUCAGUGUGUGAGGAUACAAUGAAAAAAGGGCUAUCUGCAAACCAGGAAGAGUGUCCCCAUCAGACACUGGAUCUGCCAGCACCUUGAUGUUGGAAUUACCAGUCUCCAGUACUGUGAAAAAUAAAUUUCUUUUAUUUAAGCCACCCAAUCUAUGGUAUAUUUGUUAUAGCAGCAGACUGACUAAGACAGUAUUCAUUAUUCUCAUGCAUGUUUUUAUAAUUUUACCAAUUUUUUGUUUGUUUCUUUUUCAGAGACAGGGUCUCCAGGCACUGGAGUGCAGUUGCAUGAUCAUAGCUCACUAUAACUUCAAACUCCUGGGCUCAAGAUAUCCUCCUGCCUCAACCUCCCAUGUAGCUAGGACUACAGAUGAACACCAUUGCACCUGACUAAUUUUUAAAAUUUUUUGUAGAGAGGGGUCCUAUUAUGUUGCCCAGGCUGGUCUCAAACUCCUGGCCUCAAGUGAUCCUCUCUCCUUGGCCUCCCAUAGUGCUGGAGUAAUAGGUGUAAGCCACUGUGCCUGGCCUAGUUUGCCAGUUUUGAAGGUUAUCUAAAUAGUAUCAUACUGCUACACACACACACACACACACACACCCCAUAUUCAUGUUUUCUUACAACUUAAAGAUGUAUCUUUGCUGAGAAAAUACAGUUGUACUUCCUUCAUUUUAACUGCUCAUUACAUAAUAAUACCACAAUUUAUUAACAUAUUUCCCUAUAGAUGGAUGUUUACUUUUUUGUGCAAUUAUUUGCUAUUAUGAGCCAGGCUACAGGCAAAAUUCUUUUGGAUGGAGGUAUGCAACCUUUGUUUUUUAUUUUAUUUUAUUUUGUUUUAACAUAAUUGAACAAUAGGGCCAAUAAAGUUGCCCUUUUUUUAAUGUACAGUUCUGUCAGUUUUAACACAUGGAUGGAUUCACAUGACCACCAUCAUGAUAAGGAUAUAGAAUAGUUCCAUCACCCAAAACAACUUCCUAAUGCUGUACCUUUGUAGUCAUACCUUCAUCACGGUCCCUAAUGCCUGGCAGCCAAUGAUCUAUUCUCUGUCACCAUAGCUUUUCCAUUUCUAGGCUAUCAUAUAAAUGUAAUCAUACAAUAUGUAACCUUUUGAGACUGGAUUCUAUCACUCAGCAUAAUGCCUUUGAGAUGCAUCAAUGCUGUCAUGUAUACCCAUAUUUUGUUCUUUGUUGUUUCUAAGUAGUAUUCCAUUGUAUGAUGUACAACAGUUUAUCUAUUUGCCCACUGAAGGACAUAUGCACUACUUAAUGUUGGCAAUUAUUAAUAAAGCUGCUAUAAAACUUUCAUAAGUAGGUUUUUAUGCACACAUAAGUUUUCAA
rnacentral:lncRNA from 1 species